GAUGAAGAACGUAGCGAAAUGCGAUAAGUAAUGUGAAUUGCAGAAUUCAGUGAAUCAUCGAAUCUUUGAACGCACAUUGCGCCCGCCAGUAUUCUGGCGGGCAUGCCUGUCCGAGCGUCAUUUCAACCCUCGGGACCCUUCGGGGAACCGGUGUUGGGGACCCGUCCGCCGACCCACGGCGGCCGGCCCCGAAAUACAGUGGCGGCCCUGCGGCGACCUCCUCUGCGUAGUAGCGAUACCUCGCAGCUGGAAAGCGGCAGCGGCCACGCCGUGAAACCCCCACUUCUAUGGUUGACCUCGGAUCAGGUAGGAAUACCCGCUGAACUUAAGCAUAUCAAUAAGCGGAGGA
rnacentral:misc_RNA from 1 species